rnacentral:lncRNA from 1 species
CUCAAGUGUAGAGACUUGCAUUCAGUGUUCCCAGGGCGGCCACUCAUGGAAUAAUGUGGGCAUCAGCACACGGGAGGCAGAGGGUGCCAAGCAAGCAGGAAAAGUGCCCUGGCCACAUCAUCCAGCCCAGUCCCCACCAGUACCCAGAGAGGAGGGGUUGGAAAUAGGAGCCAAUCCCUGAUGUUAACCAUUACAAUGCUGGAGGUGCCUUUGUGGAGAGGUGUUCUGUGUUGGCAAGAGACUUAUGUAACUCUAUUUCCCCAGUAACAGGCACCUCGGAUGCUGCGGACACAGUGAUGAACCACACUGACCAGUCCUGCCCUAUUGGGGCUUUUAGAACAGAGACAGGAGAAUCACUGAACAGUUUGUGCAGGGGAAGAGCUGUGGUAGGGAAGCUGACCAGGAGGCAAGCCAUGAGAAGCCCAUGGGCAGGAACUGGGCUGAACCCGAAGGAUCAAGAAAUAUCAGGCUCCGAGUUAAGAAUGUGUUUCCUGCAUUUUAAAACAAAUACAAAGUCAUUGUGUUUGGAGUGGGGCAGAUGAGGAGAGAGGGUGGAGGAGGGUAGCUAGUGUUCCGGAAAUAGAAUUGAAAAUCCAAGUCUCCUCCUAGCCCAGGAAACCUCUCCACAAAGGUGGGAGAGAAAGAAGACAAUGGAUUACUGAACAGCUGUAACCCAGAAUGCCAGGAGCCUCCGAGGCAGCCCUUGGACAGACUGCAAAGACACAGGAACCCAUCCCUUUCCAUAGGCUCCGAUUCGGCUCCUUACAGACAUGCUUCUGAGGUGUGUGACCGAGACCCCCUGGGCAAGGGUGACCACAGUGACAGUGCUAACCAAGCCAAGGGAGGAAGAUGGUCACCUAUGCUUUGUCACCAUUGGGGUGACAUUGGCUUCAAAUGUCCCUAUAGCACCCAAGAAAGCAAGCAGAGAAGGGGGAAGUGCUGGAGCCCUGCGGGCCUCUGGCUGGGCGGCUGGGCCUCUGCCACAUGGCCCCAGGACAUCAGCUCAGGUUCUGAUCCGUGGCCUUGGAGGGCGCCAGUUGGGCAUGC